rnacentral:rRNA from 1 species
CAGUCGCCGCGGUAAUGCGUAGGUGGCAAGCGUUGUCCGGAAUCAUUGGGCGUAAAGGGCUCGCAGGCGGUUUCUUAAGUCUGAUGUGAAAGCCCCCGGCUCAACCGGGGAGGGUCAUUGGAAACUGGGAAACUUGAGUGCAGAAGAGGAGAGUGGAAUUCCACGUGUAGCGGUGAAAUGCGUAGAGAUGUGGAGGAACACCAGUGGCGAAGGCGACUCUCUGGUCUGUAACUGACGCUGAGGAGCGAAAGCGUGGGGAGCAAACAGGAUUAGAUACCCCAGUAGUCCCUGUCUCUUAUAC